UCUCAGAUAGAAUUUAGAAGUCACUAGUUUCCUAGAUUUCUCAGAAUCCAUUGUUUCUCCUGAAAAUUCUUUCUCGAAAUCUUCUAUUUUAGAAUUUUCAUAUUAGAGUUGAUUAUUUGAGAAGAAAUUACACCCCGAAGUCUAUAGAUUGGAUGCUACAGCAGUUAUUCUUCCAUUUAAACGCAGCUUUAUUGAGUUCCAGGUGAAGCUUCAAACUGACGCCCAAUUGCAAGGCACCGUGUAGUGUUACUUUUACGAGCUGGAUUUGGGUGCUAAGUUGCAAAGUAUCCAAGGAUUUUCAGCUUUAGAGGUGAUUGAUUAUUUAGCAAGGAAUUGUACUUGAUCUGGUGUGGUCCAACGUGCAGCCAUGAGAAGUUAUCUAUGGUCAAGGGAGAUAGUAGCUGAUGACUCUGAGCUACCCGAGACUCUGUAAGCCUUUGCAACGGAAGAGAACCAUAACCAUCAGCACAAGGAACACUCACGACAAUCGUGUGAGAUGCCCGGAAGAAUAAGCUUAGUUUAAUUGUAGUCACAUUGGAUGGACUAGGAGCCAGAGAAAACUGGCUUAACACAUGUAGCAUGACCAAGAUAACUCCAUUGUCACACAUUUGACUCAUACACCAUGUCAGAAACUUCUUGGAUCCUCACUUUGCUCGUCCAUCAUUUUGGAUGUUUCUCUUUAAUGAAUGAUCUUCUUGACUGCAUGGGGAAGGAGAAAGGACAUCUCUUCAGAUUGUUCAUCAUGAUAUGAAGAUGAAACUUAAUAGCAAUAACCAAUGGAUGCUUUUCUUGGAUUCAGUCCAACACUCUGGAGACCAGGUAAAAAUAAUUUACAAGUUUUUAUAAAAGUAUAUAUUGCCUUUCCAAUGGAAUUUUAAAAUCAAGCUGGACUUACAUGCUCCUUCAAGAACUGUAUUUGUGUUAAAUGCUGUGCACAUGGAUUUAGAAGCAUA
rnacentral:lncRNA from 1 species